AUUAUGACAUUCGAUGUCAAAUUUAUGACAUCCUCUAGUUAAAAAGACAUCUUCAUGUAGUUUUGACAAUAUUAUAACAUCCUAUAUCAAAUUUAUGAUAUAAAGAAGAAGAAGAGAGAGGAGGAUAAAAGAAAAAAGAGGGAGGAGGAGGAUAAGAAGAAGAGGAAGGAAGAAAGAAAAAAAUGAUGAGGAGAAGAGGAAAAGAUAGGAGGAAGAGAGGAACAAGAAAAAGGAGGAAGAAAAGAAGAAUAGGGAGGAGAAAGAAAGGAAAAAGGAGAAGGAAGAGAAGAAGGAGGAGGAUGAAGAAGGGAGGAUGAGCCAGG
rnacentral:lncRNA from 1 species